rnacentral:lncRNA from 1 species
GGAAGUGGGAGCGGGGGCCACGCUGCUGACGCUGGGAGAAACGGGUUCCAAAUCCACCUUUACUUUCAGUUCUCCGUGUGACCUCAGGCAAGUCACAUGACCUCCCUGAGCUUUGCUCUUUGACAUUUUUUGAGAACGGUGCGUGGGCCGCUCAGCGUAAGGGACAGUCACCAGGUGAACACAGAUGUGACCGUGACUGGCGCUCGGAUAAAAAGCAAGCACGCAGCCUCUCGCAGAGGCCGGCUCCCUCCCCAGGCACACCCCCACCAGCGGUGGUCGCUCCCUGAGUCUGUCUGCCUGUUAACUGGGAAGGAUGUGUGCUGUCAUUAGCGAUGAUAAAGUGACAAGGGGGACGCGGUGGCCCCCGCUUGGUGCCCAGCGCUUCCUGUGAUCUAUUUCGUGGAUCCCCCAGUAGCGGGAUGAGAUUGGUCCUGUCACCUGCUCCACGUUGCUGGUGAGGAAAGUCGGGUUUUAGGUGGAAGUGGAGGCUGCGCACUGGCUGUGGGACCUGGACACAGUGACGAGCCUGAGGAUCCCUGCGGCUCCCAGCUAUUCCUGGAGUUUAGUCUUUCUCCUGCUGCCUCUCCCUCCGCCCAGAGCGCAAAGUCAGAUUGCUACCGCCCCAUCCCAAUCCCUUCCGGACCUGCCCCAUUCCAUCCCCCAACGGGUCCCCUGACGCAGGAUACUCCAAAGUGCUCCGAGUCGAAGGGGCUCCGCUGCCAUCCCAGCUGGAAGCUCUCGGAGGCUCACGAUGUGCGCGCUCACAGGAAAGGAUCUGAGAUGUCCUGUGGUAGACGCACCUUUUGUCUUGAUGCCAUCUCAUGCUCCGGAUCCAGCUUGUCCACGGAAUGCCUUAUCCCGUAAUGAGGGUUCGCGUGCCUUCCAGAGAGCAAAUGCUGGCAAGGCUGCGGCACAUGCUGUCCUCACGAGACCUGCGCCCAGCUGACAGGUAUUGAUCAGGCAGAGACUCUGGCCGGGCGCCGCUGGGCUCUGCAGGCUCAGGGCUGAAGGAGGCAAAGCCCUGAUCCCACAGUGCCCACUUUUUAUGCUGAGCUUCUCCAACAAUACAGCCUUGUUUUCUACAAAUUAUGAUCGUUUUUGUCUCCCAGUGUCCAUGACUGUUUUCAUCUUCUUGUCUAAUUGCUUGAUCACUUUUGGAACUAUGUUACACAAGAGCAGGGAUAAAAGACACUCCUAACUCUGUGGCUCUAAUGGAAUGCUUGUGGCAUUUUUACAAUAAAUUCUGAUGGUAAUUUUUGG